rnacentral:rRNA from 1 species
UAAGGAAUAUUGGUCAAUGGACGCAAGUCUGAACCAGCCAUGCCGCGUGAAGGAUGAAGGUCCUCUGGAUUGUAAACUUCUUUUAUGUGGGAAGAAACCACUCUUAUCUAAGGGUGUUGACGGUACCAUAGGAAUAAGCACCGGCUAACUCCGUGCCAGCAGCCGCGGUAAUACGGAGGGUGCAAGCGUUAUCCGGAUUCACUGGGUUUAAAGGGUGCGUAGGCGGGUCAGUAAGUCCGUGGUGAAAUCUCCAAGCUUAACUUGGAAACUGCCGUGGAUACUAUUGACCUUGAAUGUUGUGGAGGUUAGCGGAAUAUGUCAUGUAGCGGUGAAAUGCUUAGAUAUGACAUAGAACACCAAUUGCGAAGGCAGCUGGCUACACAAAUAUUGACGCUGAGGCACGAAAGCGUGGGGAUCAAACAGGAUUAGAUACCCUGGUAGUCCACGCCCUAAACGAUGAUUACUCGACAUUUGCGAUAUACAGUAAGUGUCUGAGCGAAAGCAUUAAGUAAUCCACCUGGGAAGUACGACCGCAAGGUUG